rnacentral:rRNA from 1 species
CCUACGGGUGGCUGCAGUGAGGAAUAUUGGUCAAUGGGCGGAAGCCUGAACCAGCCAAGUAGCGUGCAGGAUGACGGCCCUACGGGUUGUAAACUGCUUUUAUACGGGAAUAACGCGCCUUACGUGUAGGGCUUUGCAUGUACCGUAUGAAUCAGGACCGGCUAAUUCCGGGCCAGCAGCCGCGGUAAUACGGAGGGUCCGGGCGUUAUCCGGAUGUAUUGGGUUUAAAGGGAGCGUAGGCCGCAUGUCAAGCGUGCUGUGAAAGGUCCGGGCUCAACCCGGGGCUUGCAGCGCGAACUGGCGUGCUUGAGUCCGCGGAAGGCAUGUGGAAUUCGUCGUGUAGCGGUGAAAUGCGUAGAUAUGACGAAGAACCCCGAUGGCGAAGGCAGCUUGCUGCAGCGGAACUGACGCUGAUGCUCGAAAGCGCGGGGAUCGAACAGGAUUAGAUACCCGUGUAGUC